GCGGGGGUUGCCGAGUGGACAAAGGCGCCGGAUUUAGGGUCCGGUCCCGAAGGGGUUCGAGGGUUCGAAUCCCUCCCCCCGCA
rnacentral:tRNA from 2 species